UCGCAUCUCAGUGUGACAGAGGAGCCGACCUGAGGGGUAACCAAGUCUGACUCCGUAUCAAGUCGGGGCUUCAGGGUGGGCAGGACUGUUGGUUGGCAGAUACACAGAGGACAUGAUCUCAUUUGAUUCAUUCAGAGUUGAAUCUUCUCUCUGCACUCGGGGGAUUUGUAGCACCUGUCCACCUGAAAGGUCAAACCCAUGCAUACAUCAGCAGAUUCAUCCGUGACUAUGACUCCUCACUCACAAAUCACAGCCACAGGCUUUAACACAGGAAUGAGACUCUACCUGGAAGUAGCACCACCCCAUCUGCAGAGAGUUGGUGACCACACAGGUGUACUGGCCCUCAUGGGACAUCAGGGCGUUGUCUAUGUGGAGGAAAUGGCCGCUCUCCUGGAUGCCAGCAUGGACGUUUCCAAUCAGCAACUUAAGACAAACAAAAUGCAUCAGAUAAAAGGUGAAAUACUGUGUGUAGAAAACACUAUCUCCACAUUAGGCAUUAAGAUUUCCAUACUUCAAAAAAUGUUGUCAAUAGGUAUCAGUGGUGAUUUAAAUGUCUGGAUUUAUGACACCUUAUUUUCAUA